rnacentral:rRNA from 1 species
UACGUAGGGGGCGAGCGUUAAUCGGAAUUACUGGGCGUAAAGCGCACGCAGGCGGUCUGUCAAGUCGGAUGUGAAAUCCCCGGGCUCAACCUGGGAACUGCAUUCGAAACUGGCAGGCUAGAGUCUUGUAGAGGGGGGUAGAAUUCCAGGUGUAGCGGUGAAAUGCGUAGAGAUCUGGAGGAAUACCGGUGGCGAAGGCGGCCCCCUGGACCGCAACUGACGCUGAGGCGCGAAAGCUAGGGGAGCAAACAGG